UGGCUUGUGGUGGCCAAGCGUUCAAUGCGACAUCACUUUUUGAUCCAUCGAUGUCAUCGAUGUCAUCAUUGUGAAGCAGAGUUCACCAAGCAUUGGAUUGUUCACCCACUACUAGGGAACGUGAGCUGGUAUUCAUACUCACUGUUGUGUUU
rnacentral:ncRNA from 1 species